UCGCGCUAAAGGUCGGUAGUGGCCCGCGCGCGCCGCCCGCCGGGGGCUCGCGCCAGCCACGAGGGAGCGUCCGCGGCUCGCGCGCCCGCGCCGUGGAGGAGAGCUCAUGAUUUCCUGGAAGCUGGCUGUCCAUCAAUGUGUAUGUAAGAUGUGUUUUAAGUAUGAUGUUUCCGUAAUACAUUUGGAUGUUUUCAGCUAAGCUCACUUCUGAACCGUGGGGUUCCUCCAAAUGUUGACUGAAAUUUGUCCUUGCGCUUCCCAGGCUCAUCUGCAAAAUCUACAGUCCAUAAUGGAGCUACUGUACUGGCUAUUGGAAGAAGGAGAUUCUGAAGAUAGGGAGUUCAUCAAGAAGCCAAAGAUCUUAUGCCUGACUAAGUAUCUCCAUAUCUAACUUGAUUCAGCUAUCAGUCUGAAAUUUCCUGUGGUCUGUUCAGUCUAGAUGCAAAGGCCAUGGAAAAAUCAAGUGCUCAAGUGGUUUAAAUAUGUUUUGGAUGUUCUUAUUUAUAGAUUACAGUAUUUUUCCACUUAAAAUCCACAGUUGUCUUGCAGAAGAAGGUUAUGCCCUUCUAGAUCACCAAUUUUAUUUGACAUGCUUAGCAUUGUAAUGUAUUACCAAAUGCUAUCUGUUUUAAUCAAAGUAUAGAAAAAAUAAAAUCAAUUUUAUAUGUUGA